rnacentral:tRNA from 1 species
GUCCCCAUAGUUUAAUGGAUAGAAUGCGAGCUUGCGGAGCUUGCGGCGUAGGUUCGAUUCCUACUGGGGACA